GAUGAAGAACGUAGCGAAAUGCGAUACGUAGUGUGAAUUGCAGAAUUCCGUGAAUCAUCGAAUCUUUGAACGCAUAUUGCGCUGGCGGCUUCGGCCAACAGCAUGUCUGCCUCAGCGUCGGGUUAAUAUCGUUCUCGCCUCCACACACACAGCACGCUGUGUUUUAAAGGAGCGGGAGCAGGACCUGGCCGUUCCAACCGCAUUACUCCUUGUGGGUGCCUGCUUGGAUCGGCUGAAAAUCAGAGGCUAGCUCAAGGACCCGUUAUGGGCCGCAACUGGGUAGGCACUUCGUCUCUUUGACGCAUUGCUCUCGAGUUGCUGGCUUGGGACCCUGUGGCUCGGCCCUCCAUCAGGAAAUUAACCAUUCAUUAUCUCGACCUGAGCUCAGGCAAGAACACCCGCUGAACUUAAGCAUAUCAAUAAGCGGAGGA
rnacentral:misc_RNA from 1 species